UUCAAUACUCAUGUUUUGUUUUUCCUUUUUUCUCAUCCUGAGUUAAUGUUGUUGUUGUUCUCAUUCAGUUUUUCUUUCCACUCACUCACUUCUCACUUUCACACACUCCUCUAUCUCUUUCUCUCUCCUCUGUCACCCACCUCUCUUUAAUUCCCCAUGAAACCGUUGAACGUUUUUCAACUCUUACUGGCUUCUUCAUAAGCCUCUUCCACCACCAUCACCACAUCUCUUUUUGAUUCUCUCUCCUCUCAUUUCUAGGUGGUAUCAAUAUUGGGGGGUUCAAAGAUUGUGAAACAACUUGAAGUAAAUGCAUGGAUCGAGGAGAUCAAAUGGCAUUAUCUGGUUCUGCAUCUUACUAUAUGCAGAGAGGAAUACCUGGUGCUGGAACACAACCUGAAUUGCAUAAUUCACCUAGUAUGCGUCCACUGUCUAAUCCCAAUCUACCAUUUCCAACAAACAUUGGGGGUGGUAGUACAAUUGGAUCCACAUUACCAUUAGAAUCUUCAGGAAUUUCUUCUCCAUGUGUCAAUGUGAGUGCUCCUUCCGGUGCUGUGCCCGGCGAAACUGUCAAAAGGAAGAGAGGGAGGCCUAGAAAAUAUGGCCCUGAUGGAACCGUGUCAUUGGCAUUGACUCCGACGCCGGCUAGCCAUCCCGGAGCCUUGACACAAGGCCAGAAACGCGGUAGAGGUCGCCCGCCGGGGUCUGGGAAGAAGCAGCAAUUGGCUUCUCUUGGUCAAUUGAUGUCUGGUUCAGCUGGGAUGGGUUUCACUCCUCAUAUCAUCACCAUUGCAAUUGGAGAAGACAUUGCAACGAAACUCGUGGCAUUUUCUCAACAGGGGCCUAGAGCUAUAUGUAUUUUGUCAGCCAAUGGUGCUGUUUCUACUGUGACACUUCGUCAGCCUUCAACCUCAGGUGGCACUGUCACAUAUGAGUUCCCAGUUUCAGAUUUUACUCAACUUUUCUCAAACCAAGCAGCAUCUAAAGUGGUUCAGGACCUGUUUAUUUUCUUUUGUUUCUUUUUUCUAUCUCUUUAUCAAGUAGAGGUUAUCUAUCUUUAUUUAUCUAUCAACAGGGGCGUUUUGAGAUAUUGUGCCUGUCUGGCUCUUACUUGGUUGCUGAUAGUGGUGGUCCCCGUGGUCGAACGGGUGGAUUAAGUGUUUCCCUUGCAAGUCCUGAUGGCCGUGUCAUUGGUGGAGGAGUUGGUGGAGUGCUGAUUGCAGCCAGUCCGGUUCAGGUGAUAGUUGGGAGCUUUAUUUGGGGUGGAUCAAAGACAAAGAUCAAGAAAAAAGAAAGUUCUGAAGCUGCAGAAGUUGCUAUAGAGACGGAUCAUCAGGUGGUUCAUAAUCCAGUUGCAGUGAAUAGCAUUUCACCAAAUCAGAAUCUUACCCCAACCUCUUCUUUAAGUCCUUGGCCUGCAUCGCGUCCAUUGGACAUGCGCAAUUCCCAUAUUGAUAUUGAUUUAAUGCGUGGGUGACGAUUUAUUUAGCUCACAACUAGUACUGAGUAUAUAUUUCAGAUUCAUGGUCACUCAUCUAAUUUUCCUGUAGUAGUAAUGACAGCAUGGGAAGUACCAACAGCAGAGUAGAAGCCAGCUGACUUUUGGAAUUUGAUAAAAUGCCACCUAUCCACCUAUGAUAUCAUUGACUUUAGGGUACUCAUAUUUUUGUAGCUGUGAGGAAUUUUAAUUUGAAGAUUUUGUGGUCUUGAUUAAGUACACUGUUGUUUAUAUCCUUUGGAAGAAUUUGACAGUGAGCUGUGGUGUAGGGGCAUAUAUUAUGAUAUCAUCUCAUGUGAUUUUUGUUGUUGAACUGUUGUUUCUUGAAAUGCAAUGACAAGGGUGCAUGAAGGUUUACUCAUGGGAAUACAUGAUAGGAAGUGUUGUGUA